rnacentral:rRNA from 1 species
GAUGAACGCUGGCGGCGUGCCUAAUACAUGCAAGUCGAGCGAACAGACGAGGAGCUUGCUCCUUUGACGUUAGCGGCGGACGGGUGAGUAACACGUGGGUAACCUACCUAUAAGACUGGGAUAACUUCGGGAAACCGGAGCUAAUACCGGAUAAUAUUUCGAACCGCAUGGUUCGAUAGUGAAAGAUGGCUUUGCUAUCACUUAUAGAUGGACCUGCGCCGUAUUAGCAAGUUGGUAAGGUAACGGCUUACCAAGGCAACGAUACGUAGCCGACCUGAGAGGGUGAUCGGCCACACUGGAACUGAGACACGGUCCAGACUCCUACGGGAGGCAGCAGUAGGGAAUCUUCCGCAAUGGGCGAAAGCCUGACGGAGCAACGCCGCGUGAGUGAUGAAGGUCUUCGGAUCGUAAAACUCUGUUAUUAGGGAAGAACAAACGUGUAAGUAACUGUGCACGUCUUGACGGUACCUAAUCAGAAAGCCACGGCUAACUACGUG